CAAAAGCUGAAAAUUGUGAGUAGGGAAUUAACAUAGCAAGAGCAAGCGAGCAUUGCCUUAUCGCACACCUUCGAAGGCGCGUCAAGACGUCUGGGCUUGUAAUUGGUUAAAAAAGGCAGCUUGACUAAGGUCUAUAAAAAUAAACACACACUUCCUUCAUCGAACUCACCAAAGCCCCGAUGAGCAAACCACUUUAUUCCCUUUCCCCUUCUUCCUUCGAUCCCUAGGGUCUUACAAUUCCCAGGGUUUAUCCCAACUCUCCCACUAUUCAAUUUGAAUCCCUAAUAUUCCCUCUCAAUACUUCUCUCUUAAACCCUUCAUCACUGUUCUAAACCCUAGCUAAUUUGGGUCCCUGCUAAUCUUUCUUCUUCUUUUUGAUUUUUUGGGUCUGAAUUUUGGUCGAUUGAAGCAGCGUUUCAUUUCCAAGUCUCGAAAUUACUGGGAUGGAUUCUAUUCUUCUGGGGUUGCAAACUCCGUUAUCUUUUUCCAUGCAAUUAUUUGGAACUCUACAAACUAUUUCAGUGUCAAUGCAAGUCAUAUUAAAGGGUAUUUUUUCUGCCCUUGAAAACAUUUUAGAGAAAAAAUUUAAGUUUCAUUACCCUUGCAUUAGAAAGAAGAAUGUGCUAAUGAGGUUAAUGGGCGAAAUUAAUUAAAAUACAGAAAGCCUUCAGUAUUGAUCAGUUGAAGUUGGAAAUGUUGACCGUUAUACAGUUGUCGUAUG